rnacentral:rRNA from 1 species
GGGAGGGGUGCAAGCGUUAAUCGGAAUUACUGGGCGUAAAGCGCGCGUAGGCGGUUUAGUCAGUCGGGAUGUGAAAGCCCUGGGCUCAACCUGGGAAUUGCAUUCGAUACUGCUUGACUAGAGUAUGGUAGAGGGAAGUGGAAUUUCCGGUGUAGCGGUGAAAUGCGUAGAUAUCGGAAGGAACACCAGUGGCGAAGGCGACUUCCUGGGCCAAUACUGACGCUGAGGUGCGAAAGCGUGGGGAGCAAACAGGGUUAGAUACCCUGGUAGUCCACGCCGUAAACGAUGAGAACUAGAUGUUGGGAGGGUUACCUCUCGGUGUCGCAGCUAACGCGUUAAGUUCUCCGCCUGGGGAGUACGCCGGCAACGGUA